rnacentral:rRNA from 1 species
UACAGAGGGUGCAAACGUUGCUCGGAAUUAUUGGGCGUAAAGCGCGUGUAGGCGGCUUGUUAAGUCGGUUGUGAAAACCCAUGGCUCAACCAUGGAAGGGCGUCCGAAACUGGCAAGCUAGAGUCCCGACGAGGAUGGCGGAAUUCCGAGUGUGAGAGGUGAAAUUCGUAGAUAUUCGCAAGAACACCAGUGGCGAAGGCGGCUUACUGGUCCGGUUCGUGACGCUGAGGCGCGAAAGCGUGGGGAGCAAACAGG